CCCUGUGAUCCCACAUUCAUCUUGGGCUGUGCUCCCUGCAAUGUGAUCUGCUCCAUUAUUUUCCAGAAUCGUUUUGAUUAUAAAGAUCAGGAUUUUCUUACCUUCAUGGAAAAACUAAACGAAAAUAUCAGGAUCCUGAGCUCGCCCUGGUUUCAGGUCUGCAAUAAUUUUCCUUUACUAAUUGACUACUGUCCAGGAAGUCAUCACAGAAUAAGAAAAAAUAUCACUUAUAUCAGAAGUUACCUUUCAGAGAAAAUAAAAGAACAUCAGGAAUCAUUGGAUGUUGCCAAUCCUCAGGACUUCAUUGAUUAUUACCUGAUUAAACUAAAGCAGGUAAAAUGUUAA